UACGUAGGGUGCGAGCGUUGUCCGGAAUUACUGGGCGUAAAGAGCUCGUAGGUGGUUUGUCGCGUCGUCUGUGAAAUUCCGGGGCUUAACUUCGGGCGUGCAGGCGAUACGGGCAAUACUUGAGUGCUGUAGGGGAGACUGGAAUUCCUGGUGUAGCGGUGAAAUGCGCAGAUAUCAGGAGGAACACCGAUGGCGAAGGCAGGUCUCUGGGCCACUACUGACGCUGAGAAGCGAAAGCAUGGGGAGCGAACAGGAUUAGA
rnacentral:rRNA from 1 species